rnacentral:lncRNA from 1 species
GUGCGCGGGCGGAUGGAUCAACGCCGCCAAGUGGGUAAGGUCUGAGGAUUGCGUCAUUAGGCGAUUUUGUUGCUGUACGAACACCACAGAAUGUACUUUGACGACCUAGAUGGUGGAGCCUGGACACACCUCGGCUCUGUGGUGUGGCCUGCUGCUUCCAGGCUGCAAACCUGACAGCAUGGGGCUGUACUGAAUACCGCAGACCAUUGUAAUUCAUGGGGAAAGCGCGAAUGCAGUCCCCCACUACAACAAAUUAUGCAGUCGAGUUUUCCACAUUUGGGAAUAUCACAGGGGUCAGCACAUCCGGAGUGCAAUCGAUGAGCCCCACGCUGGGAAAAACCACCUUCGUGAUCAUGGUAUCUUCCCUGCCAGCAACCUAAUCACAGAGCCUCCCAGCCCGAUGCUACAAAGAGCCGCAUGCUGCCAGUUUCCUUGUGGGCAGGGACCUAUGUAUUAUAAUGGUGAAUAUAUUUAUACUUGAAUCCACAGAGAAGACACAGUAGACUAGUCAUACCAUUGUGAGUAGUGCUCAGAUUCUUUCUUGACCCCCCAUCAUCCAAAAAUAUACCUUUCCAGUGUGGCAGUCUUGAACUUUUCCAAAUUCAGCUGCUGUUGGAGCUCUUCUGUUUUUCCCAGGGAAGGCCGGAGAACUGUAUUUCUGGCCAGAGCUGCUGCAGAAGGUCUCUGUUCGGCAUCAGGUUGGAUCAUGUUCUGAUGAUAUAGGACCAAGAGGAAAGAAACAGAAGCUUCACUAUUGGGAAAAAUCUUCCCAUUCAAGCCAACUCCAACCCAGCUUCUCCUGGUGGAUUUUAGAGAAACCAAUCAGCUUCAUUUUCAACUUCUUCUAUGACUCCAGAGGAUUCACUUUGCAUCUUGUGACAAAUGAAUAUAUUACCUGAAAAAAAAAUGACAGGAUAGAUAUUGAAGAAAUAAUUUUUUAUAGGACUCUGGAGUGAAGGGAUUAAUAUUGACCAGAGCCAAUGAGGUCAUCUCAUCCUUGAGGGGAGCAGGUGUGAGCUUCAAAUGCUUAGGGCCUCUGGAAGGAAGCUUCCCUGUUGGAGAAAUCACCAACCGGCUCAGCAUGGUCUGAAUGAGGAUGACAAAAGGAGUUGCUGCACAGGGGGAAAGCGAAGUUCCCAGGAGUAAGAUGUGCAAGAAGCGGGCAGCCUUGCAUCUCAGGGCUGAGUUCCCUCAACUGUGUGCUUGAGGGAAGUUCUCCCCUUGCAGACACACUGCUGAGUGAUAAGGAAGCACCUAGACUCCACUCUGACCAGACUUGGUUCUGAGGCCUAUGAAAUGUUGAUGGGAAGAACAGAAGCAGGAAAAUCUAUCUAUUCAAAUUUGCAAGACGUGGAAACUUUUAUUCACCUUCCUGGUUAGACUGUUCCUUUGUCAAAGUAAAGCUAAGGCCAUGGAAAAUGAGCUAUUUGAGAGUUUGUCGCUCCAAGGAAGAACAUGCUGGCCUAAUUGUCCCCCAAGUCAGGAGAGAGAAUUGUAAAAAACACUUAAACAGGCCUAAGUAAAGGUCCAGCACAUUAUUUAUUUAAGACUGAAUUAGAACUGAGUCAUUCCGACUCUGAAAAAAGAGUGUUGUUGGAUUCUUAUGUAUUUAAUGGGUCUGCCCUAUUGAAAACCAUUGUGAAGUAUGGUUUCCCAAGCAAGAAAUGACACUUUCACUGUCAGUCUUUCUAGGAGUCUGGCAGAAUCCAGGACCGGGAUUACCCUUAUUUAUGAAGCGACCUUAGACUAACAGUGGCUCUCUGGGUCUCCAGACAAUUGGCCAGGGACUCUAAAAACCAGAAACAAAGUUGAGAGAACUCCAUGCUGGUGGAGAAAAACAGCUGGCCUUUAUCACCAGAAUGUGCCCCAUAGAAGCAGCAAAGCAGCAAGCGACGUUCUUAAACAAGGGCCUGUGGGCCUCGUCAAGAUCUGGAGGAAUCAUCUACGACUCACUGCUGAGUGAGAGGGCUAGGCAGUGUCUUUAAGGUCCUGCCAGCUUUAACAUUGUAUGCUUUUUCUUUUGUUCAAUCUCUCACCACAACUGGAAGUGUUGCCUCAACUACACAGGAGAAAGUUUGCAGUAACUUAGAGAAAACAUUAUUUUAAUCACCAGUGUAUGUUCUCCUGCUCCCUGGACAAAUCCAUCAGCAGCGGCAACACUGACCAGGUCCAGAUUGGGGCCGCUGCGGUGGAUGUGAAUCCAUUGAAACUAGGGGUCUCCAGUGCUCCUGA